rnacentral:rRNA from 1 species
UUGGCCUCGAAUCAGGUAGGGAUACCCGCUGAACUUAAGCAUAUCAAUAAGCGGAGGAAAAGAAACCAACAGGGAUUGCCUUAGUAACUGCGAGUGAAGCGGCAAGAGCUCAAAUUUGAAAUCUGGCGCCUUUGGCGUCCGAGUUGUAAUUUGGAGAGGCAUCUUCGGGUGCGGCGCCGGCCUAAGUUCCUUGGAACAGGACGUCAUAGAGGGUGAGAAUCCCGUUCUCGGCUGGCUGUCCGCGUCCAUGUGAAGUGUCUUCGACGAGUCGAGUUGUUUGGGAAUGCAGCUCAAAAUGGGUGGUAAACUCCAUCUAAAGCUAAAUACUGGCGAGAGACCGAUAGCGCACAAGUAGAGUGAUCGAAAGAUGAAAAGCACUUUGAAAAGAGAGUUAAAAAGUACGUGAAAUUGUUGAAAGGGAAGCGCUUGAGACCAGACUCGGCGGGAGGUAUUCAUCGUCCCUUCUGGGGCGUGCACUUGCCUCUCGUCGGGCCAGCAUCGGUUGCGGCGGCGGGAUAAAGACCCGGGGAACGUGGCUGCUCUCGGGCAGUGUUAUAGCCCCGGGUGUCAUGCCGCCUGCUGCGACCGAGGACCGCGCUUCGGCUAGGAUGCUGGCACAAUGGUCUUCAGCGACCCGU